rnacentral:rRNA from 1 species
UACGGAGGGUGCAAGCGUUAUCCGGAUUUACUGGGUUUAAAGGGUGUGUAGGCGGGCUAUUAAGUCAGUGGUGAAAUCUCCGGGCUCAACCCGGAAACUGCCAUUGAUACUAUUAGUCUUGAAUUUUGUUGAGGUAGGCGGAAUAAGUCAUGUAGCGGUGAAAUGCAUAGAUAUGACUUAGAACACCAAUUGCGAAGGCAGCUUACUAAGCAAAUAUUGACGCUGAGGCACGAAAGCGUGGGGAGCGAACCGG